GACGGAAGGUGCAAGCGUUGCUCGGAAUCACUGGGCGUAAAGGGUGCGUAGGCGGCCGUGCAAGUCUGGCGUGAAAGCCCGGGCUCAGCCCGGGAAGUGCGCUCGAAACUGCGCGGCUCGAGUUGCCCGGGAGGGAGAGUGGAAUUCCUGGUGUAGCGGUGAAAUGCGUAGAUAUCAGGAGGAAUACCGGUGGCCGAAAGCGACUCUCUGGACGGCAACUGACGCUGAGGCACGAAAGCGUGGGAGCAAACGG
rnacentral:rRNA from 1 species